rnacentral:rRNA from 1 species
GAUCCUGGCUCAGGAUGAACGCUGGCGGCGUGCCUAACACAUGCAAGUCGAACGAAGCACCUUACCGGAUUCUUCGGAUGAAAGUUUGGUGACUGAGUGGCAGACGGGUGAGUAACGCGUGGGUAACCUGCCCUGUACAGGGGGAUAACAGCUGGAAACGGCUGCUAAUACCGCGUAAGCGCACGAGGAGACAUCUCCUUGUGUGAAAAACUACCGGUGGUACAGGAUGGGCCCGCCGUCUGAUUAG